rnacentral:misc_RNA from 1 species
UCCGAGUUGACCCCGGCAGUCUCCCAUGAGUCCCCGACAUUCCUGUGCAUGUCAAGCCCAGGUAAGGUUCUUCGCGUUGCGUCGAAUUAAACCACAUGCUCCGCCGCUUGUGCGGGCCCCCGUCAAUUCCUUUGAGUUUCAGCCUUGCGGCCGUACUCCCCAGGCGGGGCACUUAAUGCGUUAGCUUCGGCACGGACGGAGUCGACACCGCCCACACCUAGCACCCAUCGUUUACGGCGUGGACUAC